ensembl:snRNA U6 U6 spliceosomal RNA
AUAAAAAAUGGAAAAAUAUAUAUACUAAAAUUGGAAAGAUACAGAGAAGAUUAGCAUGGCCCCUGUGCUAUACAGUAUUUCUAUAUCAACUCCUUUCUC